rnacentral:rRNA from 1 species
AUAUUACUAAGCGGAGGAAAAGAAAUUAACUAAGAUUGCCUUAGUAAGGGCGACUGAACCGGCAAGAGCUCGAAAUUGGAAUCGGGGAUUCAAAGAAUCUUCGAAUUGUAAUCAGGUCCGCCUAAAUACGAGAGUUCGUUUAAGUAUGUCGAAACGUACGCCAUGGAGGGUGAAAGCCCCGUGUAGCGUUCUCUCGAGUAAGGGGGAUCCCAUAAGAGUCGGGUUGCUUGGAACUGCAGCCUAAGCGGGAGAUAUGAAUCUUCCAAAGCUAAAUAUGGAUGGGAGACCGAUAGCGCACAAGUA